rnacentral:lncRNA from 1 species
CUAUCUCAGGUCCUUAUACAGAUUCAUCUAUUCUUUCUUUUUAUUUUCCUUGUUUCUGUUGUAAUGGAUGAAAUCUUAUCCUGUGAGUUAGAUUAAUGGUUGAUUAGAAGUAAAAUGCUUCAGAAUUUUCAUCUCUCUCUCUCUCUCUCUCUCUCUCUCUCUCUCUCUCUCUCUCUCUCGUGCGUGACCGCAGAAUGAUGUAACACUCUGAAGUCAGGGAUUAGUUUUCGCAAUAUGUCAUAAGUUGAUUUGUCUUUUAUUUAUUUUGCGCCCAAACAUAUGAAAUCAAGCCCCCUAGUUUCCAGAACAUCUUGCAAUGAUAAUUGUUCUGACUGCUAUGUGGCCACAAAUAUUGACAUGGUUUGCCUACUUCUGUUCUAAUGUAGAACAAGGUCUACU